rnacentral:rRNA from 1 species
AUUGAACGCUGGCGGCAUGCCUUACACAUGCAAGUCGAACGGCAGCACGGGAGCAAUCCUGGUGGCGAGUGGCGAACGGGUGAGUAAUAUAUCGGAACGUGCCCAGUCGUGGGGGAUAACGUAGCGAAAGCUACGCUAAUACCGCAUACGAUCUAUGGAUGAAAGCGGGGGAUCGCAAGACCUCGCGCGAUUGGAGCGGCCGAUAUCAGAUUAGGUAGUUGGUGAGGUAAAGGCUCGCCAAGCCGACGAUCUGUAGCUGGUCUGAGAGGACGACCAGCCACACUGGGACUGAGACACGGCCCAGACUCCUACGGGAGGCAGCAGUGGGGAAUUUUGGACAAUGGGCGCAAGCCUGAUCCAGCAAUGCCGCGUGCAGGAUGAAGGCCU